rnacentral:rRNA from 1 species
UGCAGUCUGCAACUCGACUGCAUGAAGCUGGAAUCGCUAGUAAUCGCGAAUCAGAAUGUCGCGGUGAAUACGUUCCCGGGCCUUGUACACACCGCCCGUCACACCAUGGGAGUUGGAAGCACCCGAAGUCGGUGACCUGACCGAAAGGGAGGAGCCGCCGAAGGUGAAGCCAGCGACUGGGGUNAAGUCGUAACAAGGUAUC